AAACAAACAAGCAAUCUCCACCAACACAUGAAGGUGGUUUUCUCAUGGGAGGCUCCUCCAUUGCACUCCAGAUGUGACAGCCCUGUGACUUCCUCAAAUGGGAAACUUGAAUACAUAAUUUGUGGUAGUGGAAGACUGAAUUCAUACUAUUUCCUG